CCUACGGGGGGCAGCAGUGAGGAAUAUUGGUCAAUGGUCGUACGACUGAACCAGCCAAGUCGCGUGAGGGAAGACUGCCCUAUGGGUUGUAAACCUCUUUUGUCAGGGAGCAAAGCCGGCUACGUGUAGCCGGACUGAGAGUACCUGAAGAAAAAGCAUCGGUUAACUCCAGGCCAGCAGCCGCGGUAAUACGGAGGAGGCGAGCGUUAUCCGAAUUUAUUGGGUUUAAAGGGAGCGUAGGUGGAUUGUUAAGUCAGUUGUGAAAGUUUGCGGCUCAACCGUAGAAUUGCAGUUGAAACUGGCAGUCUUGAGUAGAGGAGAGGUAGGCGGAAUGCGUGGUGUAGCGGUGAAAUGCUUAGAUAUCACGAAGAACUCCGAUUGCGAAGGCAGCUCGCUGGACUGCAACUGACGCUGAGGCUCGAAAGUGUGGGUAUCGAACAGGAUUAGAUACCCCUGUAGUC
rnacentral:rRNA from 1 species